UGUGUUGCAUCGCACUUUGACCCCUUUCUUUAAUUAGAGAGCGCGUGUCUUAGUUUUCGCUUUGCUCAUACAAUUAGGUCCUGAAAGCAACGAACRUGACCGCAACCUCUUGUUGCCUUUAUACCAAACAUGUUUUGCGUCAAUUUUCGAAUUGCGCGCAUUUCAUGAAAAAAGGCUUUUUAAACUAGAGGGACCGCUGUUACUUUCUUAAACCAGAGGAAGGUUGCGGCAAUAACAGGUCUGUGAUGCCCUUAGAUGUUCCGGGCUGCACACGUGCUACAAUGAUUAUUGCAGUGAGCAUCUCAUUUUUACACACCGCAUGCGCGAGUCCAUUUAUUCACCUUCGGGUGUUUUAAAUGUGUAUCUCUGCGCGCGGUAAAGCCUGCUUCGACAGUAAGUGGGUAAUCAAUUAGAAGUAAUGAUUUCCUUUUUUUUAGCACACAUAUAUACGGCGUCUAUGCCCGGGUUACCUUGUUGUAGCUUUUGUGCGAUAGAUGUUUUUUCCGUAUGUGCGAUUGUCAAUUCAUGGUGGGGCAGACCAUUGUAAUUGUUGGUCUCGGUCUUAACUAGAAUGCCUUGUACGGGUCUUUGGUCAACAAACCACCCGGAAUACGUCCCUGCCCUUUGUACACACCGCCCGUCGCUCUUACCGAUGGACUCUCUGUGAGUUUGAGGGACUGGGAACG
rnacentral:rRNA from 1 species